ACGCUGGCGGCGUGCCUAAUACAUGCAAGUAGAACGCUGAAGAGAGGAGCUUGCUCUUCUUGGAUGAGUUGCGAACGGGUGAGUAACGCGUAGGUAACCUGCCUUGUAGCGGGGGAUAACUAUUGGAAACGAUAGCUAAUACCGCAUAACAAUGGAUGACCCAUGUCAUUUAUUUGAAAGGGGCAAAUGCUCCACUACAAGAUGGACCCGCGUUGUAUUAGCUAGUAGGUGAGGUAACGGCUCACCUAGGCGACGAUACAUAGCCGACCUGAGAGGGUGAUCGGCCACACUGGGACUGAGACACGGCCCAGACUCCUACGGGAGGCAGCAGUAGGGAAUCUUCGGCAAUGGAGGCAACCCUGACCGAGCAACGCCGCGUGAGUGAAGAAGGUUUUCGGAUCGUAAAGCUCUGUUGUAAGUCAAGAACGAGUGUGAGAGUGGAAAGUUCACACUGUGACGGUAGCUUACCAGAAAGGGACGGCUAACUACGUGCCAGCAGCCGCGGUAAUACGUAGGUCCCGAGCGUUGUCCGGAUUUAUUGGGCGUAAAGCGAGCGCAGGCGGUUUGAUAAGUCUGAAGUUAAAGGCUGUGGCUCAACCAUAGUUCGCUUUGGAAACUGUCAAACUUGAGUGCAGAAGGGGAGAGUGGAAUUCCAUGUGUAGCGGUGAAAUGCGUAGAUAUAUGGAGGAACACCGGUGGCGAAAGCGGCUCUCUGGUCUGUAACUGACGCUGAGGCUCGAAAGCGUGGGGAGCGAACAGGAUUAGAUACCCUGGUAGUCCACGCCGUAAACGAUGAGUGCUAGGUGUUGGAUCCUUUCCGGGAUUCAGUGCCGCAGCUAACGCAUUAAGCACUCCGCCUGGGGAGUACGACCGCAAGGUUGAAACUCAAAGGAAUUGACGGGGGCCCGCAC
rnacentral:rRNA from 1 species